UGGGGAAUAUUGGACAAUGGGGGCAACCCUGAUCCAGCAAUACCAUGUGUGUGAAGAAGGCCUUAGGGUUGUAAAGCACUUUAGUCAAUGAGGAAGGUCGCGCAAGCGGCUUGACGUUAGUUGAAGAAUAAGCACCGGCUAACUCUGUGCCAGCAGCCGCGGUAAUACAGAGGGUGCAAGCGUUAAUCGGAAUUACUGGGCGUAAAGCGCACGUAGGUGGUUAGAUAAGUUGGAUGUGAAAGCCCUGGGCUCAACCUAGGAAUUGCAUUCAAUACUGUAUGACUAGAGUAUGAUAGAGGAUAGUGGAAUUUCCGGUGUAGCGGUGAAAUGCGUAGAUAUCGGAAGGAACAUCAGUGGCGAAGGCGACUAUCUGGAUUAAUACUGACACUGAGGAGCGAAAGCGUGGGGAUCAAACAGG
rnacentral:rRNA from 1 species